GACGAUUUCGAGGAAUUUAAUUCACAAGAUUUGACUGAAGCUUCUUGUUCGACGCCUACAACAUCGGCACGUAGUCAAUCGUCCCUGUCAGUCCUCCCAAGGCCACCUUCAACAGCCAAUUCAGAUAAAUCUGUUUUUAAAGAUACAGUGGAUGACAGUACAGUUAUUAAGAAGAUCCUAAAAGAAGUGUUUGCAAGCCUGGAAGUUUUGAAGAUUAAUCAGCGACAACAAACUACUCUGCUGGACCUACUGGUUUCACGUUCGAAUGCUGGGACUGUAAAAGAAACUUCUUCAGAAUUAGAAGGAAACCUUGGUUUACCUCUAAAAAGUUUGGCUGCUCUAGAAAGGUUCGAAAUUGACCUAAAAGAUCAAUCAACCAAAAGCAAACUGAUCAACAUUUAUUCGUUAGUGGGAGGCGGAUCACUGGCAAACGUAGUUAACCGCAUUUUCCACCGUAUUUUGGAUGAUGAAGUUGCUCAGCAUUUCUGUUUCAGAGGCCAAAACGCAGGAAAAAGGGCGUUUGAACACCUAGGUAGGGGCCGUUCACAAAA